GCCAGCAGCCGCGGUAAUACAGAGGGUGCAAGCGUUAAUCGGAAUUACUGGGCGUAAAGCGAGCGUAGGUGGCUUGAUAAGUCAGAUGUGAAAGCCCCGGGCUUAACCUGGGAACGGCAUCUGAUACUGUUAGGCUAGAGUAGGUGAGAGGAAGGUAGAAUUCCAGGUGUAGCGGUGAAAUGCGUAGAGAUCUGGAGGAAUACCGAUGGCGAAGGCAGCCUUCUGGCAUCAUACUGACACUGAGGUUCGAAAGCGUGGGUAGCAAACAGGAUUAGAUACCCUGGUAGUCCACGCCGUAAACGAUGUCUACUAGUCGUUGGGUCCCUUGAGGACUUAGUGACGCAGCUAACGCAAUAAGUAGACCGCCUGGGGAGUACGGCCGCAAGGUUAAAACUCAAAUGAAUUGACGGGGGCCCGCACAAGCGGUGGAGCAUGUGGUUUAAUUCGAUGCAACGCGAAGAACCUUACCUGGUCUUGACAUAUCUAGAAUCCUGCAGAGAUGCGGGAGUGCCUUCGGGAAUUAGAAUACAGGUGCUGCAUGGCUGUCGUCAGCUCGUGUCGUGAGAUGUUGGGUUAAGUCCCGCAACGAGCGCAACCCUUGUCCUUAGUUACCAGCGGUUUGGCCGGGAACUCUAAGGAUACUGCCAGUGACAAACUGGAGGAAGGCGGGGACGACGUCAAGUCAUCAUGGCCCUUACGACCAGGGCUACACACGUGCUACAAUGGUAGGUACAGAGGGCAGCUACACAGCGAUGUGAUGCGAAUCUCAAAAAGCCUAUCGUAGUCCAGAUUGGAGUCUGCAACUCGACUCCAUGAAGUAGGAAUCGCUAGUAAUCGCGGAUCAGAAUGCCGCGGUGAAUACGUUCCCGGGCCUUGUACACACCGCCCGUCACACCAUGGGAGUUGAUUGCACCAGAAGUGGUUAGCCUAACCUUUAGGAAGGCG
rnacentral:rRNA from 1 species